rnacentral:tRNA from 1 species
GCCUUUGUGGUGUAGUGGUCAGCAUGCUUGUCGCAUAUUCAAGAGGUCCAUGGUUCGAGUCCCAGCAAGGGCA